GGAUGUGAGGGCAAUCUGGCUGUGACAUGUGUCACCCCACUGAUCACCAGGGUUGAUUCGGCUGAUCUAGCUAGUUAGGCAGGUGUCCCCUUCCUCCUUCACUGCUCCAUAUGGACGGCCUUCCCCAAAUAGAGAUAGACCCAUCUUCAAUUGAGGGUAUAGGAGUAGCUGCGCUCUCCUGCUAGAACCUCCAAAGAAGCUCUCAAGAAUAGGAAAGCUAAAAAGGGGAGGGUUGGGAUACAGAGUUCUGGUGGUGGGAAUUGUGUGGAGUUGUACCCCUCUUAUC
ensembl:misc_RNA 7SK 7SK RNA